AUUAUUCCAUAAUAUAUGGUCAGAAUUACUCAAAAAAAUUUCAUAUAAUACACUAUUACAGCUUCUUUUACUACUAAAGGGUACUCGUGCAGCCCACCAAAACUGGUUCCAAUGAAACAUUGAAAGAUAUACACACAAUAAAUCUAUAAAACCUGCUAUUGGACUCCAAUGCCAACUGAUGAAUUGAAAUUGUAAAAGUAGCUGGAUGAUCAUCAGUUGGAAAAAGCAAACCCCAUUAGUUCAUUCUUUUUCCCCUUGAUGAAUAUGAUCUUUGAAUCAGUAAUUCCCAACUAACUAAAUUUGAGUAAUGAUUUUCAUACAUCCUCUUUUUGGUACUUGAGAAAUCAUGUAUCAGUAACUGAAGAUUUAGGUCAUGUUGCAUCAUUACUAGUCAAUCAACUUUCCCAAUGAGAAUCAUGUGUUGAUAAGUGAUAACUUGAAAUUUCAGUUACUCUACUGGUGGUUCAUAUUGUCAUGUCAUGGGGAUUCGACUAUAUUUUUAUGGUGGUUCAUAUUGUAACUAACAAAAUAUGUAAAAUCCUUUUUAGAAAUUUGUAAGUAAUACAACGAAAAAUCCUUGGUAAUACACAUGAUUCAAGUAAAUUCGCUGACAACUUAAAUCCCCAUUAUUGAUACAGAGAUCCAUUGGUACCAAAAUUAUAUUUGUAAAAGGGAUGAAACACUAGCAAACUAAGUUAAGCACUUAAGCCCCAAAUGAGGAUAAUCUGCAUAAAAAUGAGGAAUAGACACGAAAUGAUCCAUUUAAUAUACAGUGAAAACAGAAUCUGCACACUCUGCAAUUCUGUUAGACCACCAAAAGGACACCGAGACUACAUUCUGAUGAUAAUAAUAAAAAGGGCAGGACAGGGGUUAGAUUAUGGGUCAUGACAGAAAGGACGCGUCAACCCAUGCCUGUGACAUGUGAAGAGAGGAAUAUAUGAAAAAUUCUGUGUAAUUCUCGAUUAGAAGAACAUAAAUGAGUCCAUUCAUCAAUUUAAUCAUUGCCUCCUGGGACAGUUGGGACUACAUCACAUAUUAAAUAAUCAGGAAAGGUGGCAGAUCAAUGUAAAGAACACAGUUUCAAUUAUAUUCCAAACUCCUUUGAGCAUCCCAGCAUGCACAACUAUUAAUCAGCAUUGAAGUAGGUGCUAUGCAUUUAAGCAAUGAAUAAUAACUCAUCUAUCUAAACAAACACCAUCCAUGACUAGUAUUAGUAUUUAUGGCUCUCCUAAAGUCAAGGAGAUCACCAAAAAGCUAACUUCAGAAUAAUUCAUGAGUAUAAAUGCAACCACCAACAAAAAUAAUAGAUAAAUUUGAUUUCUUUUUCCUAUUCAACAUAA